rnacentral:rRNA from 1 species
UACGGAGGGGGCUAGCGUUGUUCGGAAUUACUGGGCGUAAAGCGCGCGUAGGCGGGCUGUUAAGUCGGGGGUGAAAUCCCGGGGCUCAACCCCGGAACUGCCUCCGAUACUGGCAGCCUAGAGGUCGAGAGAGGUGAGUGGAAUUCCGAGUGUAGAGGUGAAAUUCGUAGAUAUUCGGAGGAACACCAGUGGCGAAGGCGGCUCACUGGCUCGAUACUGACGCUGAGGUGCGAAAGCGUGGGGAGCAAACAGG